ACCGAUAAGGCCAAGAGGAAAGUAAAUGCUCUUGUCUGAUCUUCCCCUGUGUGAUCGCCAGAGGUGGUGGCUCCCUGGGCAGAAUCCGGUUCCUCCGUUCCUUCUCCAAAGACGGCCACGGGGCAUCAGCAUCAGCACCCGACCCUGAGGCCUGCUGGCUGGAACUCAGCUCGCAAGCAGUUGGGACGGAGGUAAUGCCCAGCCUGUCCUUAUGGGUCUGCCCUUUUCCUCCAUCCAGAUCCACACAGCACAGUCCCCAUAGAGCGGGGGUGGUUUCAUCCCCCAUCAGGGCCCUCAAAGCUCCAAGAUCUUUCCGGAGCAUCAGACAAGUCCCUUGUCAGAGGCUCCUGACUCGGCCACGUAUUCCCUGAAGAGCAAAUAAAACAUUGGGUAGAAGUUGCCAAAGGCUGAGCAGAAAGGGUUCAUUGCUCUAAAUUCCGGCCCAUGCCGUGCCAUCCAGCAGGGUGGCUAUUGCCUGCCAGGGGAGGGGGAGCCGUGGGACUACUGCACUGGGCAUGAGUCAAGGGCUGUCACAGCUGCCUCCUGCGUCCGCGUGCCGCUCCAGCUGGCCCCGGGGAGAGCCAGCUCCCAGGAUGGCUUUCCUGCUGGCCCCAGAGGCAGGGCUGGGGACGGAAGCUGGCCAGACUGGAGAAGGAAGGGGAAGGAGCUCAGCUCUGGCACCUGCCGGCCUCUGAGAGUUGCCCAUGGAGGCUGGCAGCAGGGAGCCUUCUCUGAGCUGUCCCGGCUCAGAGCUCUCCCAGCCCGAGGACCAGACGCCUCGAGUCCCAACGCUUCGCUAAUUCACCUUGCGACUUUUUGGAAGCCUCCUCCUACUGAUUCCCGAGCCCUUGGACAGGACUCCAGUGAUCUUUGGAGGAUCCCAACUUUCUGGACUUUCAAGAUAUUCUUGGCUCCUUCUGUGCAUUUCUUGGCCCAGCCCUGGAAUCAGCCAUCUCCUCAAGAAUCCCUGAUCCUCUAGUGGGAGCCCGAUGCGGGACUCGAUCCAGGGA